GAUGAACGCUGGCGGCGUGCCUAAUACAUGCAAGUCGAGCGAACGGACGAGAAGCUUGCUUCUCUGAUGUUAGCGGCGGACGGGUGAGUAACACGUGGAUAACCUACCUAUAAGACUGGGAUAACUUCGGGAAACCGGCGCUAAUACCGGAUAAUAUUUUGAACCGCAUGGUUCAAAAGUGAAAGACGGUCUUGCUGUCACUUAUAGAUGGAUCCGCGCUGCAUUAGCUAGUUGGUAAGGUAACGGCUUACCAAGGCAACGAUGCAUAGCCGACCUGAGAGGGUGAUCGGCCACACUGGAACUGAGACACGGUCCAGACUCCUACGGGAGGCAGCAGUCGGGAAUCUUCCGCAAUGGGCGAAAGCCUGACGGAGCAACGCCGCGUGAGUGAUGAAGGUCUUCGGAUCGUAAAACUCUGUUAUUAGGGAAGAACAUAUGUGUAAGUAACUGUGCACAUCUUGACGGUACCUAAUCAGAAAGCCACGGCUAACUACGUG
rnacentral:rRNA from 1 species